GUGCAAAGGUAGCAUAAUCAGUUGGCUUAUAAUUGAAGUCUAGUAUGAACGAAAUAACGGGUAUUAACUGUCUUAAAAGUAAUUCUACAAAUUUAAUAAGUAAGUGCAAAGACUUACAGUAGUAUAUUAGACGAGAAGACCCUAGAAAUUUUAAUAAAUGUUUUUGUUGGGGCGACAUAGUUACAACAAACUAACUCUACACUACAUGUUGUAUUAAAGGAUGAUUAAAUUACUCUAGGGAUAACAGCAUAAUUUAUAAUAGUUUGUGACCUCGAUGUUGGACUAGGUAAAAUGUUUUUUAGAAGAAAACUUUUUGUGCUCUGUUCGAGCAGAAACACCUG
rnacentral:rRNA from 1 species